AAGUCAAUUGCCAAGUCUUUGGCAUUCUGCUGACCCUAUGCAGACUAUAAAAAUGUAGACCAACUUUAGUGAGUCUGAGGUAAACUUGCUAUAGUUUGUAUCUUGAAUGUCUCCCAAAUGCCCAGGUAUUACAGGACUAAAUGAAAUAAAAACAUGAUCAGCUCUCUCUGAAAUUAUACCUUACAUUUUAGCUACUCCUGGAUUGGCCCCCAGGGGUGGCUCUACUGGGAGGUAGUGGAAAAUUUAAGAGGUAGGACUUAGUCUUUAGGUAAUUCAGGGUGUCCCCUCAAGGGGAACAUCAACCCUCAGGUCCCUUCUGGUUCUCUUUUAUUUUCCUACCAUGAGGUUUGGCUCUACCAUACACUCCUGCCAUGAUGUGCUGCUUCAAUCCAGGCCCAAAGCAACAGGGCCAACUGAUUAUGAACUCCAAAAUUGUUAGCCAAAAUAAAACUUUUCUUGUUACAAAUUGAAUAUCUCAGGCAUUUAUUAUAGUGACAAAAAGUUGAUGAAUACAGAAGCCAAUAUAAUUCCCUCUACCACCUCAGGAAAUUAUGUUCAUACACAAAUGGCUAAACCUAGAAAUAUAAAUAGUUAUCAUAACAAAUGUAUCAGAUUAGUAUUUUCAGCACAAACAUUCUUAAGAAAUAAUAAGGAAGGAAGAUCUAUGACUUCAUUAUGAAAUAAUUACAAAUAAUAUGCUUCAAUACAUGAUUACAUUUACUGGAUGCAAAAACAAACUGGAAAGAAAAUGAAAAAAAUCAUUAAUAAUUGAAUAGAAACUAUAAAUAUCUAGAUAUAAAUAUCAGACUUUCUAUCUAAAUAAUGGAACACAGUUUCUACUUUGUAACCAUAGGUUUGGCCUUGUGCAUAUAGAUCCUGUCUGUUUUACAUCCAAAGAAAAAACAAUGAAGGAGUUGGUUCUAAUUCUGUCUCUUGCUGAGAAAGCUAAAGCUGAAAACAAAUAGUUAAUAUUUACCUGUCAAGAAAGCAAGCAUUUCAGGGCAGUGAGCUGUUAUCUUGGCAUAAACCUGAAAUUGGAAAAAAAAUACAGAAGUAAAGUGAAUUAUAGAA
rnacentral:lncRNA from 1 species